rnacentral:rRNA from 1 species
GACGUAGGGGCAAGCGUUGUUCGGAAUUAUUGGGCGUAAAGCGCUCGUAGGCGGGACAGGAAGUUCGUGUUGAAAGACCUCGGCUCAACUGAGGGACCGGCUCGAAUACUCUUGUUCUUGAGGCAAUCGAGAGGUGAUGGAAUCCGGUGUAGCGGUGAAAUGCGUAGAUAGUCGGAGGAACACCAGUGGCGAAGGCGAUCACCUGG